GACAGCUAGCUUCCGUCCGUUGGUACAUUGACUUCAAUACAAAACCUAAGAGGCUCUUGGUUCUCACCCCCUUCCAUAGAUUUACCCGGUAAUUAUGACAACUACCAUGUUGGAGGACGUCCUCUAUCAGAGCUCUUGCAGCAUGAACUGACAUGUUGUCCACCCAGUCAAAGGAUCAGAGAAUGAAUCUAGUACUGAAAGCAUAAGCUACAGCUAGCUAGCAGUGCAUAAAAUGUGAGUAGUUGACUCUGAGAGAAAGACCAUAGUUGAACAGUUACAACAAAUUCAUUUCAAAAUUAGAGAAGCAAGAGUGCGUAAAAAAAUAAUUAUUUCACUUACUUAGCUGGCUUAAACAGAAAGGGGAUACCUAGUCAGUUGUACAACUGAAUGCCUUCAACUGAAAUGUGUAAUGCAUUUAACCCAACCCCUCUGAAUCCUAGAGGUGCGGGGGACUGCCUUAAUCGACAUCCAGAGGGAUGCUAUGUUAAAACUAGCUAGCUACGACUAUCCAACACAAUACUGGAACUCUUCCAAGGCAAGGACAAUGACCCAACACCUCCAGGUUGUGUAAGGGCUGUCUGACCAAGGAGAGUGAUGGAGUGCUGCAUCAGAUGACCUGGAGUGCUGCAUCAGAUGACCUGGCGUCCACAGUCAAGCCCAUUUGAGAUGGUUUGGGAUGAGUUGGACCGCAGAGUGAAGGAGAGAUUGAGAGUGAAGGAAAAGCAGUCAACAUGUGCUCAGCAUUCCAGGAAGCAGACUGCGGCCAAUACCCACUUGGCAGGCUUCUCCUUGGUCUUGAGGUUGAAGGUCCAGGUGAUGGGGCCCCUCAUACAGGUCUUGUUGAUGGGACACUCCUCGUACAUGUUCUUGGUCUCCUGGUGGUCCACCGGUACCGCCUUGAUGAAGAUCGGCAUGUUGGGGGUCAGCUCCUUCAGACGAGCGUCCGCUAUCAUCCCCAUCUGGGUGUCCCAGCGCGCCCCUGCACACACACUACCCCACACACACACUGUAUAAAGGGUUGAACUCUAACCAUAGAAAUAUCUGUCAUCGCUCCAUCCCCUGUGACUGACCCUUCAUCGCCACAUUCUGUGUUUGUGUGUAUCUACAGUGCUGUACAAACGGACCCCUUAGUUUACCAAUUCCUGAGAUAUAGUACUGAGUUUUUACUGCUGUGUGUUUUCAUUGAACUAUAAACAUUCUGUACAUAUAGACCAACAGGAGGAACUGUAGCACAGGAUGUUUUGUACAUUCAAUAAACUCUCAUUAGUUCUGUA